UACGUAGGGUGCAAGCGUUUGUCCGGAAUUAUUGGGCGUAAAGAGCUCGUAGGCGGUCUGUCGCGUCGGCUGUGAAAUCCCGAGGCUCAACCUCGGGUCUGCAGUCGAUACGAGCAAACUAGAGUGUUGCAGGGGAGACUGGAAUUCCUGGUGUAGCGGUGAAAUGCGCAGAUAUCAGGAGGAACACCGGUGGCGAAGGCGGGUCUCUGGGCAUUAACUGACGCUGAGGAGCGAAAGCAUGGGGAGCGAACAGG
rnacentral:rRNA from 1 species